AGGGUUAGUCAGGACCUAAGCCGAGGCCGACAGGCGUAGGCGAUGGACAACAGGUUGAUAUUCCUGUACCACCUCUUUAUCGUUUGAGCAAUGGAGGGACGCAGAAGGAUAGAAGAAGCGUGCGAUUGGUUGUGCACGUCCAAGCAGUUAGGCUGAUAAGUAGGCAAAUCCGCUUAUCAUAAAGGCUGAGCUGUGAUGGGGAAGCUCCUUAUGGAGCGAAGUCUUUGAUUCCCCGCUGCCAAGAAAAGCUUCUAGCGAGAUAAAAGGUGCCUGUACCGCAAACCGACACAGGUAGGCGAGGAGAGAAUCCUAAGGUGUGCGAGAGAACUCUGGUUAAGGAACUCGGCAAAAUGACCCCGUAACUUCGGGAGAAGGGGUGCUUUCUUAACGGAAAGCCGCAGUGAAUAGGCCCAAGCGACUGUUUAGCAAAAACACAGCUCUCUGCGAAGCCGUAAGGCGAAGUAUAGGGGGUGACACCUGCCCGGUGCUGGAAGGUUAAGGAGAGGGGUUAGCGUAAGCGAAGCUCUGAACUGAAGCCCCAGUAAACGGCGGCCGUAACUAUAACGGUCCUAAGGUAGCGAAAUUCCUUGUCGGGUAAGUUCCGACCCGCACGAAAGGUGUAACGAUUUGGGCACUGUCUCAACCAGAGACUCGGUGAAAUUAUAGUACCUGUGAAGAUGCAGGUUACCCGCGACAGGACGGAAAGACCCCGUGGAGCUUUACUGUAGCCUGAUAUUGAAUUUUGGUACAGUUUGUACAGGAUAGGCGGGAGCCAUUGAAACCGGAGCGCUAGCUUCGGUGGAGGCGCUGGUGGGAUACCGCCCUGACUGUAUUGAAAUUCUAACCUACGGGUCUUAUCGACCCGGGAGACAGUGUCAGGUGGGCAGUUUGACUGGGGCGGUCGCCUCCUAAAGUGUAACGGAGGCGCCCAAAGGUUCCCUCAGAAUGGUUGGAAAUCAUUCGUAGAGUGCAAAGGCAUAAGGGAGCUUGACUGCGAGACCUACAAGUCGAGCAGGGACGAAAGUCGGGCUUAGUGAUCCGGUGGUUCCGCAUGGAAGGGCCAUCGCUCAACGGAUAAAAGCUACCCCGGGGAUAACAGGCUUAUCUCCCCCAAGAGUCCACAUCGACGGGGAGGUUUGGCACCUCGAUGUCGGCUCAUCGCAUCCUGGGGCUGUAGUCGGUCCCAAGGGUUGGGCUGUUCGCCCAUUAAAGCGGUACGCGAGCUGGGUUCAGAACGUCGUGAGACAGUUCGGUCCCUAUCCGUCGUGGGCGUAGGAAAUUUGAGAGGAGCUGUCCUUAGUACGAGAGGACCGGGAUGGACGCACCGCUGGUGUACCAGUUGUUCUGCCAAGGGCAUAGCUGGGUAGCUAUGUGCGGAAGGGAUAAGUGCUGAAAGCAUCUAAGCAUGAAGCCCCCCUCAAGAUGAGAUUUCCCAUAGCGUAAGCUAGUAAGAUCCCUGAAAGAUGAUCAGGUUGAUAGGUUCGAGGUGGAAGCAUGGUGACAUGUGGAGCUGACGAAUACUAAUAGAUCGAGGACUUAACCAU
rnacentral:rRNA from 1 species